rnacentral:lncRNA from 1 species
GUUCGUCUUAGUUGGAAAAAAUAAUGGUAGUCAGUCCAUGCUUAUGUCUAUCUGUUGGUCAACAGUAGCAAAUGAUUGCGUUAGGCUAAACUUCUGUAAUUGAUGCGAGAAGAACCCCCUACACAUCUAGUCUGAUAUUCUGAUAUAGUCAAAUAGUUUGUUAGUUAGCCAGUGCAAUCUUUCAUUUCCUUAUUUUCAAUAAUCUUGCU